rnacentral:rRNA from 1 species
GACGAACGCUGGCGGCGCGCCUAACACAUGCAAGUCGAACGGAGCUGAGAGAAGCUUGCUUUUCUUAGCUUAGUGGCGAACGGGUGAGUAACGCGUGAGUAACCUGCCCUGGAGUGGGGGACAACAGUUGGAAACGACUGCUAAUACCGCAUAAGCCCACGAUCCGGCAUCGGAUUGAGGGAAAAGGAUUUAUUCGCUUCAGGAUGGACUCGCGUCCACUUAGCUAGUUGGUGAGGUAACGGCCCACCAAGGCGACGAUUGGUAGCCGGACUGAGAGGUUGAACGGCCACAUUGGGACUGAGACACGGCCCAGACUCCUACGGGAGGCAGCAGUGGGGGAUAUUGCACAAUGGGGGAAACCCUGAUGCAGCGACGCCGCGUGGAGGAAGAAGGUUUUCGGAUUGUAAACUCCUGUCGUUAGGGACGAUAAUGACGGUACCUAACAAGAAAGCACCGGCUAACAACGUG